rnacentral:misc_RNA from 1 species
CUAUCCUCUAACCUAAUGUGCUCGACUUGUCUAACUGGAGCCAAAGUUAAAAUUAAAAUUAAAAUUAAUAGUGCAAAGUUAAAAUUAAUAAAAACAAAACACAGAAAAAGAAACACGAGAGAGUAAUGGAUGCAAAGUUAUGAAACUGUGACAGGAACUCAUACUGGAAGUGUGAUGAAGAAAAAAAAAGAGACCACCAGAAGGCUUGAAGACAAAGCAGAUGAUAAAAUCACAGUGAGCAGUCAAGUUUCAUUAAUAGCCACAUAAGCUAUAAAUCUCAUAAAUGACAAUUUAAAUAGCAAAUGGAAUGAAAAGGCACAUAAACAGCAGUUGAAAUGAGGCAACCAAACUAAAUGUACAAUAGAAUCCUGAAUCCGAAUGACUAAUGCACUUAAUAGUGCAUACAAUAUGAGUGUGUUAGGAAAAACAUAAUGCAGAACAAUUUUACAACUUUUCAUUUCAUAAACACAUAUCUUUUACACAUAGAGGACCCUGCAUGAUUUAGUAAAUGAGUACAAAUAUUAAGCAUAUAUUUUCCAAAAUCACAUACUUCACAAGUAAACAACAUAUUUUCCAAAUUUUCCAUAUGAAGUCAUGAUAAAGCCACACUAAUCUAUAUGGAAGUUCAAUAGUUAAGUUUCAUUCAAGCUAGAACUGCAAAACUAUCAGAAAUGAACUACCAGGAUACACAGUUAUGUUGACAUGAAAGUUCUCUCAUUUAAUGACUUGGCUAGGCUAGUGUUAUAGACAAACCCAUUAACUCAAUUCAAUACAUCUAGUCAUUUCAACUAGAGAAAUUAAUCUAAGCACCCUUAUUUAGCAUUAAAAAAAUACGAGAUCAUGCAUUUAAUUUUCAUAUCUGGAUGCAAGAUGACAUUACUCAGGAACCGUUUAAUAUGAAAGGUGAAAGAAGUUGGAUGACAUAAUUUCCUAUUAACUAAUGAUAUGGUCAGUCUCUUUACCAGAAAAGGGAUAAAAACACAUAAUAUAUAGACAGUCAUUUCUAAAUGCAUCUAGUUCAGGUAGACACAAACUAUAAUCUAUAGCAAACAAACUUACAGAUCUAGUCAAGAGUUAAAUAAGGCCAACAGUUGACAGAAAGGACUUUGUAUAUUUAUGCAGAGGAGGAGAUAUGCAAAAGCAUCAUAACAAUAAACCUAGAUCUAGCUAGAUAAAGUUCUGCAAAUGGUUUUGUUUUAACCAAUUCAAAUAUGUUCCAAGACAGUUGUCAUGAUUUUGUUUUCUGCAUUAAGAGAAUAUGUGCACUUCUGAAUCCUAAAUGUAAGUACUUUCUCAUUUUCAUUUGUCUUAAUCUUAAAUUCCUAGAUUGUCAGGAGACUAACUUGUGCCUUAGCCUAAUAAUAAAGUUAAGGUUUUCUAGAAGUAGCUGCUAAAGAUCUCACUAAUAACAAUUUUCAUCUCACAAAAUUGCAGAAAAACAAAAGAAAUGAAAAGAAAAGAAAGGAAAAGAAAAACACUGUUAGGACAUUCGAAUUGCAAGAAAUCAAUCACAAGCAAGUGCCUAAAUGAGUUAAUGGAAAGUUUCAAUAUUUUUACAAGUACAUUGACAAGUUAACUAGUGUCCCGAACAAGAAGGGAGUUUUGGCAAUUUUAUUAACAACUAAACACUGGUUUCAAAAAAAUAAAAAUAAAAAAAGGAAAAUUGAAGGAUAAGAAAAUCUCAAUCGAUGAGGGGAACAAGCAACCUCCGUAUUAAUGGUCACGACACAGAGGUAAGCUGUACAAGCAUUGAAGGCUCUGUCUCACCGGGGAUCGGAUGAAACGCACUUUAAUCCCACCAUCUAACUCGUAAUCAUCCAAUGGCUACCACAACACGUGUUCCAUUGUUCUUCUCUUGCUCACCUCGUUGUCGUAAAUACGCUUGCCUGCCAACAACACUUCCAGAAUCUUCCACUCUUUCAUUUCGGUCUUUUCCUUUUUCAUUUCUCUCAACAACCCAUCAUAAUGGAAACAAGAGCUUUAGGAGACUUCGGGCGGUUUCAGCGUCAAUGGCGGAUUCGCGUCCAAGCACUGUUCUUGUCACUGGAGCUGGUGGUAGAACUGGUUCAAUAGUUUAUAAGAAAUUGAAGGAGAGGUCUGGCCAAUAUGUUGCACGAGGUUUGGUCAGAACUCAAGAUAGCAAAGAGAAAAUUGGUGGAGCAGAUGAUGUUUUUGUUGGGGAUAUUAGGGAAGCAGAAAUUAUCACCCCUGCUAUCCAAGGAAUUGAUGCUCUCAUAAUUCUCACAAGUGCAGUGCCGAAGAUGAAACCUGGGUUUGAUCCGUCCAAAGGUGGAAGGCCUGAGUUUUAUUAUGAAGAUGGAGCAUAUCCUGAACAGGUAAUCCACACACACUUCCCUAAAUGUUGGGUCCUGUUACUUCAUUUAUUUGUUCUCGACAUUGUUUGAUGCAAUUUUUUUUUAGGUUGACUGGAUUGGUCAGAAGAAUCAAAUAGACGCUGGUGGGGGUCCAUUUCCUUGUUUCAGGGAUUCAGUUUCCUGUUCUUAGUUGCUUUUUUUUUUCUUUGCUGAAUUAGAUUUUAUCCAUUUGAACAGCUAAGGCGGCGGGAGUGAAUCAGAUUAUUUUGGUUGGGUCUAUGGGUGGGACAAAUCCAAACCAUCCCUUAAACAGUUUGGGCAAUGGGAAUAUAUUGGUCUGUGAUCCUUUUCUGUAACACUUAGAAAUUUACUUCCCUUUUAUGGUAGCUUUGCAGCCUCUGUGAGAACUAGUUUACUCUUCAUUUUGUUAAUUGGACUUUUUUUAGUUCUUUCCUUGAUUAAUUUAUUGUCCUUUCUUCCAUUGAGAGCCUAACUUUGUUCACAAUGUUAUUUUAGAUUUGGAAGAGAAAGGCUGAACAGUAUUUGGCUGAUUCUGGUAUCCCAUACACAAUUAUAAGGUUGAUGCUUUCUAUCUCAUUUGUGCUUCCCAUUUCGAAAUUUGGUGUCAGGGGGCUACACUUUAUACCACAUUAUUGUCAAGACACCAUUGGUGGAGUUUCAUAUUUCUAUUAAGUCAGUGAGGGGAGAAUAUAAUAAUUUAUGUUAUAUGGAAUUUUAUUUUCCGAAGUUGUUUAUGCUGGCAAAAAUGGUUUCUAAGCUUUUGCAUAAUACCCACUGAAUAUAGAAAUAUGAAUUAUCACUGAAUCCAUAUGUUGUGCCCUUGGGCAUUGAGUACCCUCCCAAAUACAAUCCUGUUCUCGGUUCAUUAUGACUCCCAAAAAAAAAAGUUUAAUAAACACCUGAAUUUUCAUAGACGUAGAAAACAGGGUCAAAGACAUUGUAAAAUUUUACCCAGCCUGAUCCCAUUGUAUUUUUCACUGUGCUAUUGCAAUCUCAUUCUUCUUGUUUCUAAUAUUUAAUGUGGCUUGCCAAUUGACAUGGACCUAUUUGGAUGAUUUAGGGCUGGAGGCCUGCAAGAUAAAGAAGGCGGCGUCCGAGAAUUACUUGUUGGGAAGGAUGAUGAACUUCUUCAAACAGAUACAAGAGCCAUUGCAAGGGCUGAUGUUGCAGAAGUCUGCAUUGAGGCAUUAGCAUACGAGGAAGCUAAAUUUAAGGCAUUUGACUUAGCCUCCAAGCCAGAGGGAACUGGCACUCCAACAAAAGAUUUUAAGGCUCUCUUCUCCCAAGUCACCACUCGAUUUUGAUUUUCAAUUGACCAUUAUGACCGGUCUUGGAUGUUACAUUUCUGUGUUUAAACUUCAGAAAGAGUUGUCUGUUGAUGAGCAGAAAGAAAAUAAUAAGAGGAUACUGCACAGCUUGUGAAAGUAUCUUAAAUUAAGAACGGAUGUAUAAUGUUAAUUGCUUAUUUAUUGUUUGCUCAGAGUUGUAUUGGGAAUCGAUGUGUGUGGUUAUAAGCAAUUAAUAAACAAAUUAAUUAAUUCGCAAA